rnacentral:rRNA from 1 species
AGAGUUUGAUCAUGGCUCAGGACGAACGCUGGCGGCGUGCUUAACACAUGCAAGUCGAACGGAAAGGCCCCUUCGGGGGUACUCGAGUGGCGAACGGGUGAGUAACACGUGGGCAACCUGCCCCUAGCUCUGGGAUAACUCCGGGAAACCGGUGCUAAUACCGGAUGUCGACCUUUGCAGGCAUCUGCAUUGGUCAAAAGUUUUUCGGCUAGGGAUGGGCCCGCGGCCUAUCAGCUUGUUGGUGGGGUAACGGCCUACCAAGGCGACGACGGGUAGCCGGCCUGAGAGGGCGACCGGCCACACUGGGACUGAGACACGGCCCAGACUCCUACGGGAGGCAGCAGUGGGGAAUAUUGCGCAAUGGGCGAAAGCCUGACGCAGCGACGCCGCGUGAGGGAUGACGGCCUUCGGGUUGUAAACCUCUUUCAGCUCUGACGAAAAUGACGGUAGGAGCAGAAGAAGCACCGGCCAACUACGUGUCAGCAGCCGCGGUAAUACGUAGGGUGCAAGCGUUGUCCGGAAUUAUUGGGCGUAAAGAGCUCGUAGGCGGUCUGUCGCGUCGAAUGUGAAAACCCGGGGGCUCAACCCCGGGCCUGCAUUCGAUACGGGCAGACUAGAGUUCGGUAGGGGAGUCUGGAAUUCCUGGUGUAGCGGUGAAAUGCGCAGAUAUCAGGAGGAACACCGGUGGCGAAGGCGGGACUCUGGGCCGAUACUGACGCUGAGGAGCGAAAGCGUGGGGAGCGAACAGGAUUAGAUACCCUAGUAGUCC